AACUUCCGUUAAUUGAUUAUGACGUACUUGUACUGAUUGAGAUUUUAACACGAAGUGAGUGGCGAACGGGUGAGUAACACGUGGGUAACCUGCCCAGAAGUAGGGGAUAACACCUGGAAACAGAUGCUAAUACCGUAUAACAGAGAAAACCGCAUGGUUUUCUUUUAAAAGAUGGCUCUGCUAUCACUUCUGGAUGGACCCGCGGCGUAUUAGCUAGUUGGUGAGGUAAAGGCUCACCAAGGCAGUGAUACGUAGCCGACCUGAGAGGGUAAUCGGCCACAUUGGGACUGAGACACGGCCCAGACUCCUACGGGAGGCAGCAGUAGGGAAUCUUCCACAAUGGACGCAAGUCUGAUGGAGCAACGCCGCGUGAGUGAAGAAGGGUUUCGGCUCGUAAAGCUCUGUUGUUAAAGAAGAACGUGGGUAAGAGUAACUGUUUACCCAGUGACGGUAUUUAACCAGAAAGCCACGGCUAACUACGUGCCAGCAGCCGCGGUAAUACGUAGGUGGCAAGCGUUAUCCGGAUUUAUUGGGCGUAAAGCGAGCGCAGGCGGUCUUUUAAGUCUAAUGUGAAAGCCUUCGGCUCAACCGAAGAAGUGCAUUGGAAACUGGGAGACUUGAGUGCAGAAGAGGACAGUGGAACUCCAUGUGUAGCGGUGAAAUGCGUAGAUAUAUGGAAGAACACCAGUGGCGAAGGCGGCUGUCUGGUCUGCAACUGACGCUGAGGCUCGAAAGCAUGGGUAGCGAACAGGAUUAGAUACCCUGGUAGUCCAUGCCGUAAACGAUGAUUACUAAGUGUUGGAGGGUUUCCGCCCUUCAGUGCUGCAGCUAACGCAUUAAGUAAUCCGCCUGGGGAGUACGACCGCAAGGUUGAAACUCAAAAGAAUUGACGGGGGCCCGCACAAGCGGUGGAGCAUGUGGUUUAAUUCGAAGCUACGCGAAGAACCUUACCAGGUCUUGACAUCUUCUGACAGUCUAAGAGAUUAGAGGUUCCCUUCGGGGACAGAAUGACAGGUGGUGCAUGGUUGUCGUCAGCUCGUGUCGUGAGAUGUUGGGUUAAGUCCCGCAACGAGCGCAACCCUUAUUACUAGUUGCCAGCAUUAAGUUGGGCACUCUAGUGAGACUGCCGGUGACAAACCGGAGGAAGGUGGGGACGACGUCAAAUCAUCAUGCCCCUUAUGACCUGGGCUACACACGUGCUACAAUGGAUGGUACAACGAGUCGCGAAACCGCGAGGUUAAGCUAAUCUCUUAAAACCAUUCUCAGUUCGGACUGUAGGCUGCAACUCGCCUACACGAAGUCGGAAUCGCUAGUAAUCGCGGAUCAGCAUGCCGCGGUGAAUACGUUCCCGGGCCUUGUACACACCGCCCGUCACACCAUGAGAGUUUGAACACCCAAAGCCGGUGGGGUAAC
rnacentral:rRNA from 1 species